rnacentral:rRNA from 1 species
GAUGAACGCUGGCGGCGUGCUUAACACAUGCAAGUCGAACGAUGAAGCCCAGCUUGCUGGGUGGAUUAGUGGCGAACGGGUGAGUAACACGUGAGUAACCUGCCCUUAACUCUGGGAUAAGCCUGUGAAACUGGGUCUAAUACCGGAUAGGAGCGUCCACCGCAUGGUGGGUGUUGGAAAGAUUUAUCGGUUUUGGAUGGACUCGCGGCCUAUCAGCGUGUUGGUGAGGUAAUGGCUCAACAAGGCGACGACGGGUAGCCGGCCUGCGAGGGUGACCGGCCACACUGGGACUGGGACGCGGCCCAGACUCCUACGGGGGGAAGCAGUGGGGAAUAUUGCACAAUGGGCGCAAGCCUGAUGCAGCGACGCCGCGUGAGGGAUGACGGCCUUCGGGUUGUAAACCUUUUUCAGUAGGGAAGAAGCGAAAGUGACGGUACCUGCAGAAGAAGCACCGGCUAACUACGUG